CAUUUGUCCAAACCCUUAGAAUGCACAACACCAAGAGUGAACCCUAAUGUCAACCACGGACUGCAGAGGAAGAAACUUGGACACACCAAGAGGCACCAGAAGUGCAUGCACACGUAGGGAAGGUGAUACGAGGCAACAAGGAGGACAACAUGUACCAGCUAAGGGAGGAGGCUUCAGAAGAAACCCCCUCUGCCAACACCUUGACCUUGAACUUCCAGCAUCUACUGUGUAGCGGGAUAAUUGAAGGUUCACGCAAGACUAAUGGAUUCCUUACCAAAGGAAUGGAGGCAUGAAGGGGACCUGAUGUCGCACAAUGACAACAGUAACAGCUAUUUAUCAGAAAAAUAGAUUGGAUUGACUCGCUUGUGGCACUGCCCCCAUUGUAAUGCUAAGUACACGUUUGGCACAAUUUA